UCAGACGAUGCGUCAUGCAUAUCAAUAAGCGGAGGAAAAGAAACUAACAAGGAUUCCCCUAGUAACGGCGAGUGAAGCGGGAAGAGCUCAAAUUUGAAAUCUUAAAGGGUUUCCCUUUACGAAUUGUAGUUUAAAGAAGUGUUUUCUGUUGAGGUUUUGGUAAAAGUUCUUUGGAAUAGGACAUCAUAGAGGGUGAGAAUCCCGUAUUUGACCUUUACUUUCAACUUUGUGAUACACUUUCAAAGAGUCGGAUUGUUUGGGAAUGCAGUCCAAAAUGGGUGGUAAAUUUCAUCUAAAGCUAAAUAUUGGCGAGAGACCGAUAGCGAACAAGUACCGUGAGGGAAAGAUGAAAAGAACUUUGAAAAGAGAGUUAAACAGUACGUGAAAUUGUCAAAAGGGAAGCGUUUGACACCAGUGUUGUUUUUCUGAAAAUCAAUUAAAGAACUGUUUAUGCUAAGCUGUUUUAGACUUUAUCAGCUAUCUGUUUAGUUUUGAGCUUUUCUUUAAUGCACUUUUCAGUUAACAAGUCAACAUCAAUUUCUUUUGCUGUAAAAAAGCUUGAGGAAGGUGGCUUGAGAUUCGUCUUAAGUGUUUAUAGCCUCUUGCCUAUGCAGUCGGAGAGAUUGAGGUCUGCAGCGUAGAUCCUUCGGGGCUAAAUGCAUUUGUGCUAAGUUAUAGCAUUUUAUAGACAACUUGUUGACUAUGAUUUGUCUUGUAGCUUACUCGCUUAUGUUAUUUUACCUACGCUUAGGAUGUUGAAUCUGUGCGAGACUAC
rnacentral:rRNA from 1 species